rnacentral:rRNA from 1 species
GAUGAACGCUAGCGGGAGGCUUAACACAUGCAAGUCGAGGGGCAGCAUAGGGUAGCAAUACUCUGAUGGCGACCGGCAAACGGGUGAGUAACGCGUAUGCAACCUACCCUGUACAGGGGGAUAACCCGGAGAAAUUCGGACUAAUAUCCCGUAAUAAUAUCCGGAGGCAUCUUUGGAUAUUUAAAGUUCCGACGGUACGGGAUGGGCAUGCGUAACAUUAACUGGUUGGUAAGGUAACGGCUUACCAAGGCUAUGAUGUUUAGGGGUCCUGAGAGGGUGGUCCCCCACACUGGUACUGAGACACGGACCAGACUCCUACGGGGAGGCAGCAGUGAGGAAUAUUGGUCAAUGGGCGCAAGCCUGAACCAGCCAUCCCGCGUGCAGGAAGACGGCCCUAUGGGUUGUAAACUGCUUUUCCAGGGAGAGAAACUUACGCACGUGUUGCGUGACUGACGGUACCCUGGGAAUAAGCAUCGGCUAACUCCGUGCCAGCAGCCGCGGUAAAACGUCUA